rnacentral:lncRNA from 1 species
AGAGAGAGCGAGAGAGCGAGAGAGCGAGAGAGCGAGAGAGAGAGAGAGAGAGAGAGAGAGAGGAAGAGAGAGGAAGAGAGAGAGACCAAAAGAAGCAAAUUGUCUUCUUUAAGCUUCUCACACCUGAGGAAAACCCUUGUGAAAGAAGAGGACAGCAGAGUCCACCACGUCCCCACCCCGUGGUGACCGAGGGCCUGAAUAUAGCCCAUGAACAUGAGAGGAUCCACAUGUCUGGUUGCUGUGUGGCUGUUUCUCUAUUUUUCAUUUCUAGCACUGAGUAAUGCAGGAAAUUCAGAAACCCAGACUGAGGUGGAUGGCUUCGGGAUACUGUUU